rnacentral:rRNA from 1 species
AUUGAACGCUGGCGGCAUGCCUUACACAUGCAAGUCGAACGGCAGCACGGGAGCAAUCCUGGUGGCGAGUGGCGAACGGGUGAGUAACAUAUCGGAACGUGCCCAGUCGUGGGGGAUAACGCAGCGAAAGCUGUGCUAAUACCGCAUACGAUCUAUGGAUGAAAGCGGGGGAUCGCAAGACCUCGCGCGAUUGGAGCGGCCGAUAUCUGAUUAGGUAGUUGGUGGGGUAAAGGCCCACCAAGCCAACGAUCUGUAGCUGGUCUGAGAGGACGACCAGCCACACUGGAACUGAGACACGGUCCAGACUCCUACGGGAGGCAGCAGUGGGGAAUUUUGGACAAUGGGCGAAAGCCUGAUCCAGCCAUUCCGCGUGCAGGAUGAAGGCCCUCGGGUUGUAAACUGCUUUUGAACAGAGCGAAAAGGUUUCUACUAAUACUAGGAGCUCAUGACGGUACUGUAAGAAUAAGCACCGGCUAACUACGUGCCAGCCGCCGCAGUAA